rnacentral:rRNA from 1 species
AUUGAACGCCGGCGGCAUGCUUAACACAUGCAAGUCGAACGGUAACAGGCCCUUCGGGGUGCUGACGAGUGGCGGACGGGUGAGUAAUGCUUAGGAAUCUGCCUAGUAGUGGGGGAUAACCCGGGGAAACUCGGGCUAAUACCGCAUACGCCCUACGGGGGAAAGGCGGGGACGUUUCGGUCCGUCGCGCUAUUAGAUGAG